GCCUGGGACUCAAGAAGCAGCUACAGGGACACCAUGACUUGGAAGGCUCUUCUCCUCAGCCUCCUGGCUCAUUACACAGGCUCUGUAGCCACUUAUGUGCUGACUCAGCCAUCGUCAGUAUCAGUGACCCCUGAACAAGCGGCCAGAAUCACCUGUGAAGGCAAUAGUAUUGGCAGCUAUUGUGUAUACUGGUAUCAGCAGAAGCCAGCACAGUCCCCGCUGCUCAUCAUCUACAAUGAUAAUAACCGGCCCUCAGGGAUCCCUGACCGAUUCACUGGCUCCAACUCUGGGAACACAGCCACCCUGACCAUCAGUGGGACCCAGGCUGGAGAUGAGGCUGACUAUUACUGUCAGGUGUGAGAUGGUAAUG